rnacentral:tRNA from 2 species
GCGAUCGUGGUGCAGCGGCAAGCACCUCUGGCUUCACCCAGAAAGACACGAGUUCGAGUCUCGUCGAUCGCU